ensembl:snRNA U2 U2 spliceosomal RNA
AACGUUUCUCUGCCUUUUGGCUAAGAUCACGUGUAUCAUCUGUUCUUAUCAGUUUAAUAUCUGAUACGUCCAAUGAGGACUAGAUAUUAAAUAGAUCUUUAGAACAGGCAGACGGAAGAGCAGCUUGCUCCAUCUGCUCCACGCAUCGACCUGGUAUUGCAGUACCUUCAGGAAUGGUGCACCUCCU